rnacentral:rRNA from 1 species
CGGCUCAGUAACACGUGGAUAACCUACCCUCAGAUCUGGGAUAACUCCGGGAAACUGGAGAUAAUACCGGAUAAUCCGUGAACGCUGGAAUGCCUCACGGUUGAAAGCUUUUGCGUCUGAGGAUGGGUCUGCGGCCGAUUAGGUAGUUGCUGGGGUAACGUCCCAACAAGCCGAUAAUCGGUACGGGUUGUGAGAGCAAGAGCCCGGAGAUGGAUUCUGAGACACGAAUCCAGGUCCUACGGGGCGCAGCAGGCGCGAAAACUUUACACUGCGCGAAAGCGCGAUAAGGGGACCUCGAGUGCGUGCGCAAUGCGUACGCUUUUCAGAUGCCUAAAAAGCAUGUGGAAUAAGGGCCGGGCAAGACCGGUGCCAGCCGCCGCGGUAACACCGGCGGCUCAAGUGGUGGCCGCUAUUAUUGGGCUUAAAGGGUCCGUAGCCGGACCAGUUAGUCCCUUGGGAAAUCUUACGGCUUAACCGUAAGGCUGCCAAUGGAUACUGCUGGUCUUGGGACCGGGAGAGGUAAGAGGUACC